ACUUAAAAACAUCUGCAGAUUCUGCAGAGCGCAGGGAUAUCGGCAGAGUGUUCCAGAGCCUAGGGGCUACAGGCUCUGUCACCGCGAGUGCUGAGUGCCGCCACGAGCCCCUAGUGCUUUUUCCCUAUCGCUGCCACACUGCCUCACUCUCUACCUGGAUUUAUUCACCAGCCUCCACCUCUAUUCCUCACGCCUUGGACCCUGGAUCCCUUCCCUGCUCCCUUUGUUCCAUACAAUAAAUUCACUGAACUG